ACCAAUUUUGCUGUAAUUUGCAAAGUAAUAAAUAUGAAGUCAGAGACUCUAUAGUGGAAGUCCUUAUAAGACUCUAAUUUGCCACUUGCUAGUUAUCUGCCUUGAGGAAAGUUGAUUAUAUUUCUGAUCAUUUGUUUCCUCUUUGAAAAAUUGGAAUAAAAACAAAUACUGACAUAAAGUUCCAUUGUUGAUUUAGGAUGUAAAGUGCUUGACUCCACUGCAUGGAAUAUAGUCAUUAGUUAAUAAACCAUAGCUAUUAACAACUCUUUCUAUUUUUUUUUUUUUUGCCUACUUCAUUUCUAAGGUGUACUGUAGAAAAUUACAAUUCUUUCCUUAAGUAAAAAAUGAGAAUAAUUACUAAUGCCUUCCUCCCUUGACAGAUACCAAUCCUAAUUCCACAACUUGAUAUAACCUAGGCAGAAUUUUAUUAAUCUGUACAAAUGUGACAGGAAAAAAAUUAUUUCAUAUAGAAGUACUCUUAGCCUUGAACUAUGUCUACCCUGGUCAUCCCAUCUGUCAAGGAGAAUCUCGUAUUUUCCCACUAAACCCCUUCCUCCAAUCCCUGAUCUUGAUUCUCUAAAGAAGAGUGCUAUAUGAAUGGACUAUAAAAUCAUGUGAUGCAAACUUGGGAGUAUAGAAAAGACUAAAAAUGAAGAAUAAAAAUUAAAAAGUAAGGAAAGAGAAGAGAGGCAUUAUGGAUGCAACAUUAUCAAGAGAAAAAGAAAUGUUGAUGGAGAAUAAAGACUAUGAAUAAUGAGAGACCCUGGAGAAGUCUCUGUGCUGUACAGAAUAGAUAAAGAGAGAAAAAGAAAAAGAACAGCAAGGAGGAAGUUUGCCACCUAUGAUCCAGUCACCUCCCACCAGGCCCCUCUCAUGACACAGAGAGAUUACAAUUCCAGAUGAGAUUUGGGUGGGGACACAGAGCCAAAGCAUAUCCAACGUACUCCGCAUUUCUUUGACAUUUUAUUAUUUCUAAAGAGUGGAGGAGGCCAGGCGCGUGGCUCAUGCCUGUAAUCCCAGCCCUCUGAGAGGCCAUGGUGGGUGUAUCACCUGAAGUCAGGAGUUCGAGAUGAGCCUGUGAACAUGGUGAAACCCCAUCUCUACUAAAAGUACACAUUGAAAAAUCACCCAGGUGUGGUGGUGCACACCUGUAAUCCCAGCUACUCCAGAGGCUGAAGCAGGAGAACUGCCUGAACCUGGGAGGUGGAGGUUGUAAUAAGCUAAGAUCAUGUCACUGCACUCCAGCCUGGGCAACU
rnacentral:lncRNA from 1 species